rnacentral:lncRNA from 1 species
AAGAAGAAAGGAUAAGAAUAGAAGAAGAGAGAAUGAGAGUUAUCAGAAAAGAAGAGGAAAAGAGAAAGGGAAGGAAAGAAGAAAGAAGAGAGAAAGAGGAAGAAGAGAAGAAGAGGAAGGAAGGAAGAAGAUGGAAAAUCAUCUUCAUCAUAUCAUCUUCAUCAUCACCAACUUCAUCUUCUUCUACUAGGUGAGUUCUUAGAUAGUUUUAGCCUUUGGGGGAAAAAUAAUCUAUAUUUGUGGGGUUAGGGUUUGUGUGAAUUUGUGAU